rnacentral:rRNA from 1 species
AACGAACGCUGGCGGCAUGCCUAACACAUGCAAGUCGAACGAGACCGUCGUGUCUAUGUGCGCACGUGUACUUAACGCCGGGGAACCUACCCUUAGGUUCGGUAUAACUCCCCGAGAGGGGUGUUAAGACCAGUUAGUGUCUUCCGACCAAAGACUUCUCGCCUUGGGGUGGGGCCGCGUUGGAUUAGCUAGUUGGUAGGGUAAAAGCCUACCAUGGCGACGAUCCAGAGCUGGUCUGAUAGGAUGAUUCGCCACGCUGGGGCUGAGACACGGCCCAGAAUGCUACGCGAGGGAGCAGAGGAGUAUAUAAGAGAAUGAGCGCAAGCGUGAUCCAGCAGUGCGGCGUGAGUGAUGAAGGGCUUAGGGUUGUAAUUCUGUUUUACCCGAGAUGUGAAUGACAGUAACGGGAGAAUAAGCUCCGGCUAACUACGUG